CGAACGGGUGAGUAAACGUGGGUGAUCUGCCCUGCACUUUGGGAUAAGCCUGGGAAACUGGGUCUAAUACCGAAUAGGACCACGCGCUUCAUGGUGUGUGGUGGAAAGCUUUNNNGGUGUGGGAUGGGCCCGCGGCCUAUCAGCUUGUUGGUGGGGUAAUGGCCUACCAAGGCGACGACGGGUAGCCGGCCUGAGAGGGUGACCGGCCACACUGGGACUGAGAUACGGCCCAGACUCCUACGGGAGGCAGCAGUGGGGAAUAUUGCACAAUGGGCGCAAGCCUGAUGCAGCGACGCCGCGUGAGGGAUGACGGCCUUCGGGUUGUAAACCUCUUUCAAUAGGGACGAAGCGCAAGUGACGGUACCUAUAGAAGAAGCACCGGCCAACUACGUGCCAGCAGCCGCGGUAAUACGUAGGGUGCGAGCGUUGUCCGGAAUUACUGGGCGUAAAGAGCUCGUAGGUGGUUUGUCGCGUUGUUCGUGAAAACUCACAGCUUAACUGUGGGCGUGCGGGCGAUACGGGCAGACUAGAGUACUGCAGGGGAGACUGGAAUUCCUGGUGUAGCGGUGGAAUGCGCAGAUAUCAGGAGGAACACCGGUGGCGAAGGCGGGUCUCUGGGCAGUAACUGACGCUGAGGAGCGAAAGCGUGGGGAGCGAACAGGAUUAGAUACCCUGGUAGUCCACGCCGUAAACGGUGGGUACUAGGUGUGGGUUCCUUCCUUGGGAUCCGUGCCGUAGCUAACGCAUUAAGUACCCCGCCUGGNGAGUACGGCCGCAAGGCUAAAACUCAAAGGAAUUGACGGGGGCCCGCA
rnacentral:rRNA from 1 species